GACGAACGCUGGCGGCGUGCCUACUACAUGCAAGUAGAACGCAGUUGCGAACGGGUGAGUAACGCGUAGGUAACCUGCCUAAUAGCGGGGGAUAACUAUUGGAAACGAUAGCUAAUACCGCAUACUGUGAGAUGGACCUGCGUUGGAUUAGCUAGUUGGUGAGGUAAAGGCUCACCAAGGCGACGAUACAUAGCCGACCUGAGAGGGUGACCGGCCACACUGGGACUGAGACACGGCCCAGACUCCUCCGGUAGGCAGCAGUGGGGAAUUUUGGACAAUGGGGGCAACCCUGAUCCAGCCAUGCCGCGUGUAUGAAGAAGGCCUUCGGGUUGGAAAGUACUUUUGUUAGGGAAGCGGUACCUAAAGAAUAAGCACCGGCUAACUACGUGCCAGCAGCCGCGGUAAUAC
rnacentral:rRNA from 1 species